ACAUGAUAUAAAUUAUUAACUUUUUACACAUACGGCAAAAUAUGUAUAAUAAAUAUCAAUUACGACAAUUUGUUAACUAGAGGAGAACCCGAGAGCGGUUAUUCCGCGAGCACACUCGUACGCCUCACGCACGGUAUGGCGUAUGGCACGGUACUGCGCUCCGUCGCUCGGUCGGUUACGUUCGGCCGCGGUCGGGCGCGGUCGGUUACGGCCUAGGUGACCUACGCUCGAGCCGAGCCGCCGAGCGGCGUCCCGAGUCGGCCGAGUAGUGUCGAGUAUGGCCAAGUGUCGGUCACGUAGUUCGUAGAGGAAGCGCAAUGGCGCGUGAGUGUGCUCGGGCUCGGAAUCGCGCAGCGCAGCAUAAUCGAUAAUUGCGAGGAUAAUUGUUUGGAUCUUUUUCGUGAAAGCCUAUGGGGGAACUGUACUCAUUGCGGUUAUCACGUUGCUCGUAUAAUUGUGGUUCGCCGCGCCGCGUUUUCGGGAGUGCCAAUCGAUUAAAAUUUUGAAACUGUAACCGUCGUCUGGCUCGUCGCGUCGCGCGUUUUUGCUUCGCGAGUGCCGUACGAAUAAAUGGACUGAAAGGGCUUUUCUCAUAACUCCCAUAUACGAUACAGUUCGAUCGAGAACUAGAAGUCGUAGCAUGGGUUUUAUAGAUUAGUCUAAUUAGUUCGACGCGCGAUUGUAGUAUAUAUGUUAUCGAUAAUCUCAGGUGCUUGCAAGUCGCGUACUCGCGUAAAGAACACGAUCGGUCUCGCGUUGAGCUUUCAUUUGGCGCGAAUCACUACCGUGUCUCUCUCGAUUCGCGAGUGUCCUGUGCAACGAGAGGAGGAGGAGGCCUGGGAAAGGCAUCGGGCUUCGGCAGAGUAACCGUGAGAAUUAUCGCAGCGUGUCCUUUACAACGAGAGGAUGAGGAGACCUGGUAAAGGCAUCGGGCCCCGGCAGAGCAACCUUGGGAAUCAUCGUAGCGACGUUGCUGAAUAACUCUGCCGCUGCGCAUCGGUCGGUGAGUGAUAAAUAAACUUUUAUAAUUAGAUAGACAGAAAUACCUAAAACGACAUUGGAUGAUCGCCCUCUCAGGUUCCUCUCUGUCGUUACCUUUCGUAGAAACGUUACUAUCAGUGAUGCUACAUUGAUAAAAAUAAAUAUUAUCGCCGCAAGGUAACUUAUGUUUUAAACAAGAAAUAUAUAGUUAGGAUAGUAUUAAAAAUCACCCUGUAUAGUUUAUUAUUACGGUAAUCUUUAUUUGGAUUGUACAGUAAAUUUAAAAAUUGCGAAUUAGUUUACAUUUACACAAAUCUUUGUGUUAGGCAAUUUCAUUAAAUAAUGUGAUUUAUUAUAAAUGG